rnacentral:rRNA from 1 species
AUCAACGGCACCACGAGGGUUAGACUGUCUCCUUUUUCAAAUCAGUGAAAUUAAUCUCCCCGUGAAGAAGCGGGGAUACUCAUAUAAGACGAGAAGACCCCAUGGAGCUUCAAACCCAACUACACCCCUAGCUCUUAUAGCCCCACAACCCCCCUAGGCACCGUGUGCUUGGUUUUAGGUUGGGGCGACCGCGGAGUACAAUAAAACCUCCACAAUGAAUGGGAACACCCCCUUAUCUGAGGGCCACACCCCCUAAGAAUUAGAACACUAACAUAAAAUGAUCCAUUACUUGAUCAAUGAACCAAGUUACCCUGGGGAUAACAGCGCAAUCCAUUUCAAGAGCCCCUAUCGACAAAUGGGUUUACGACCUCGAUGUUGGAUCAGGGUACCCCAGUGGUGCAGCAGCUACUAACGGUUCGUUUGUUCAACGAUUAAAACCCU